rnacentral:tRNA from 1 species
GGGGUUGUAGUUAAUAAUAACAUUUAAAUUGCAAUUAAAAAGUACUAAAUAAGUCUUCCUCA